UUCAUCGCUCCACCAGCAACGAGUAAACAGACUUCUGUGUGGAUGUCGUAAGGCGCUAAAUUGUAGCUUUAAACAUUAAAUGAUAUAAACUAUCAGCGGUGGUAGAAACGCUUGCGGCGGAUAAUUUCUAGAAGCCAACAGCAUAAAGCACAUUUAAGGCUUUGUAACACUACAAUGGCAGCUGAGCGGCUGCUGAACGCGGUAACGUCUGUGCUAUGCUGAGCUAACAUGCGAAGCUAAGUGCUAGCCUCGGCUAACGUCAGUCGGUGUCAGUUGAAGUGUCAGAGUGCCGCGGGACCUCCCCCGGUCAUGGCAGCGGGAGCAGGAGCCGCUUCUGGCGGAUCCAUGGAGUCUACUCUAGCCAGGAAGUUUCAAACUGUCACAAAUACGAUGGAUUCAAUUCAAGGACUGUCAACGUGGUGCAUCGACAACAAGAAGUACCACAGCCUGAUCGUGCGACACUGGAUGAAGUGUUUGAAGAAAUCUGAUGCCCCUCACAGACUCAACCUGUUUUACCUCGCCAAUGAUGUCAUUCAGAACUGUAAAAGGAAAAAUGCCAUCGUCUAUCGUACAGCGUUUGCUGAGGUGCUUCCUGAAGCCUUCUUGCUGGUCAACCAUGAAGGUGACCCCAAAGUGAUCAAAGCAGUGGAAAGGAUACUGUCCAUCUGGGAGGACAGGGGUGUGUAUUCAGGGACGCUCAUUGCUGAGCUGAGGAGUACCUUAGUCAAAGAGGAGUCCCCUCCUGAGACACCUGUGGAGCAAAAAACUCCAAUUGAGUCUAAAGCAGAUCUACGAUCCAAGAUUGUUGCUGAGUUUGUGCCCCAGACAUUAAUAGACCAACUGUCCAAGUACAAGAGAUCUCUGGAGGAGGUGGACCUCAGAGAAAAACAGCUGGCAGCAAUGAGGGUCGACAUCUGCAGCUCUGAUGCCCUCAAGAAACUCAAAGACAAGGCCGGAGGAAAGAAGUUCUCCAAGGACUUUGAGGAAGGAAGUGCUCAGCUACAGGAGUUUGUCAAGUUUCUUGACAAGCAAAGCAAAACAGGACCUCCUCUCCUAGAGGCCCUCAGCAAUGCAGAUAUCUUCUAUGAGAUGCAGUACAAGGAGGUCAAGAUUGUUGCUAAUGCCUACCAAACGUUUGCUAACCGGGUGUCCCACCUCAAGCGUAAGUUGGACACCCUGAAGUCCACCUUACCAGACCUGGACGAGUCGCCCAUCCCCUCACCCUCUGCAGACGCACCGUCUCCGACAGGCUCAGAGUCCCCUUUCCAUGGUCUGGACAUGGCAGGUCCAGAUUUUGACGACUCUGUUAUGGAUGAUGAGGCGGAGCCACCGGCCCCGAGCCCCCUCUCCUCACUGGGAGGAUCCCCUAGACGCCCAGAGACUGUCGGACAGAAUGACAAUCGUGAAGUGGAGGACAUGGAGCUUUCCGAGGAGGAGAUAGACAGUGGUGGCAUUAUAGUUGAGGAUCAGACUGAAGGGCCCGCCCAGCCAGAGACGUCCGCUCCAGUCCCUGCAAAUAAGAAGGCAUCAGUAGCAUCGGAGCAGCCUGUCACACAGGUCACGCCCCCCGCAGACGCUCCUGUGGCAGCUGUGAAAAGUGUCGACUUGGGUAAAAUUGGCUCCAUCCUCAACAGCUUAAGCUCAGCUAUGAAGAGCACAGGACCAUUGGUAGAGAGUCCCCCUGCAGCUGCCCCUGCCAACUCCUCAGUGAGGACCACACCUGCUGUCUCUGUGGCCCCUGAGGAUGCUAGUUCACUGGUAAACCUCCUUUCCAAGGUGGACGUGAGUCCUGCAGACCUCCUCGGUGCUCUGUCCAAAGUCCAAGGCCAAGGCAGCCUUGAGGGCAUCACCUCUAUUCUGAGCAGCCCAGCUACCAAUGUCACGUCAGCGUCCUGCAGUACAGGCAAGAUUCCUCCCUCUCCCUCAUCCACAUCUGCAUCAGCAGUGCCCUCUCAGAGCCCAUCUCUCUCCUCUGUUACACCUGUGCCUUCCUCACACAGCUCCACUGUAAGGCGGAGCACAAGCUCUCAAGCCCCCCCUCAGACUUCCAACCAAGCCUCUGCCCUGGUCCAGGCUCUCCAUAGAGACAUGGAUUUGACAACAGACCUGGAACCAUCCCUGUCCUCUAAGAGUUUAGAGUCUAAAAUCCACAACUUCCUGCAGGGCAACCCUGCUUUUAGUGCAUUUGACCUGGGUUUCUCCACAAACCCAGCGGGAGGGGAAAACCUCAGUCCAGCAACUGGCGCAGACACCCAGGAAGGGACUCCAGUGCGGGACGAGGGUGGUGGCACCCCAACUCAAGAUGAAAUCAUGGACAAACCUGUGGUGCUCCCAUUCAGUUCCAACGCAAGCCAGUCAUCUAUUGGAGAAACAGCCCACAUUGCAUACCAGAAUAGCACUCAGAUGAACUUCAACAGUUCCCAACAGCAAGCUCACAUGCAGCCCGGGUUGGCUCAGAAUGGGCAGGUCUACCAGCCACACCAGCAGAUUUCUGCACAAACGGGAGGGCCAGUGUCUGGAGAAAGAGCCCCAGGCAGCUCCAGUAGCGCACAGACAGUUGAAGGCUUUCAGGGGGUGAGUGAAAGGGGGUGGUAUAGUGACAUUUACCCAGAAGGGGGCUCUCAGCAGCCCAGAGGCUACAGUGUGACAUUGCCUGGAGGACCUGGAGAAAACACGAUGUCAGGACUUUAUCCAUACCAGACAGAGCAAGCGAGGGAACCUCAGGAGUUUGCCUCCCAGCAGACCCCACCCCCCAGUUUCUACUCAAGCAACCUCCCUCCUUUCCCAAAGUUACCUCCCCCUCCUCGCACCUUUGACGCCCCUCCUCCUGCGAGCACCAGUGCGAUGAUUCCCCCAGAGACGGGGGCCAGAGUCGAAAGCGCCAUCAGUGGGAUGGUGGUGCACGACCAUCAGCACAGGUCCAUGUUUCAUUCAAAUGAUCCGAUGUAUGAACUCAGCCUACCUCGCCCUCGUCACCCAGAGGAUUUACACCCACACCCGGACGACCUGCGCUAUCUGGAGGACCGUGAUCGGUACCAAGAUGAGCUCCACCGGCAUGACGCCCCUCUCUAUCAGGAGGACACUUACCGCCACCCAGAUGAUCCAUAUUACAGGCCAGGCAGCCCUCCACACCACCCCAGAGGUCGGGGCAUCACUCCCCCACUCUCACCCUCAGAGGAACCUUACUAUGCCCGUGAAUACCAGCGGCACAGCCCCCCUCCUCCGCACUACACUCCAAGAAGGCCGCCACCUCAUCUUGAGAUCCGCCAUCCUGGUCUACGACCUCCACAUCGGCCUCCCCAUCCAGCACCCCACCCUCACCCAAGGGGUCCACCACGUGCACCUUUUCCACGGUUCCACGGCCCUGAUUUGAGGUUAAGAGGGAAACGUCCAGGCCCCCUUGGACCUGGACGAGGAGGGGGCCAUGCUGGUCCAAUGUUCCCCCCCAAAAGACCCUUUCCACCCCCACGGUACUGACUGGAGAUGUUGCUCUCUAAAUCACCGUGGAUGUCAUGAAGGCAAGGGGCAGGACUGAACGAUUGUUCAAGUCACUCAGUGUUGAGGAACACACCCAGCCACGAGAGGCCUCUGAAAAUCUGAAAGGGCAAAUGUCAGUGGAUCAAACUGCAGACACUGGGGGGGGGCAUCAGAGGACAAGGUUACGCUAAAGAAGAAAAUUCAGCAGCUACCAGAUGAAAACUGAAAAUGGCAGUUGAGGAGAGCGAGAGACAACACCAAGAGAUGUAAAAGAAAGCGGAGAGGCUCUGAGAGGGGCUGCUGAGCUGAAGAGUGAAGACCGAAGAUUAAAGAAAAUAAGAGGGAUCCGGAGCCACACUUUGAUGUGUCUGAUGUGAUGGCAACCUUUCCCACAUGUUAAAUGAUGGAGGAGAGGCAAGGUGGUGGAGGAGGAGGAGGAGGUGUGUGCUGUGCUGUGGUGGCUCUCCUCUUUGAAUCCUGCACAGCUCCCAGUGAUGAUGGCUCUUCAUGGUCUGACAUGAGCGCAGCUGAUUUUGUGUUGGAGAGGACUCACAGGAGAGUGGCUGGAUAGAAGGCUGGACAGAGACGCCCACAUGAAGUAAGU